AUCACACGACAGGGGAGCGCAGACCCGCAGCACGCUGCCGGGUCGGGCGCUGAGAGUGCGGACCGCCGCAGACCCUCGAACCUGAUCCGGCUAGUACCGGCGAAGGGAGUCGAGUUCUCGGAGUG
rnacentral:ncRNA from 2 species